GCCGGGGUGGCUCAGUCAGUUAAGCGUCUGACUUCAGCGCAGGUCAUGAUCUCACAGUUUGUGGGUUCAAGCCCCACCUCAGGCU
rnacentral:tRNA from 1 species